UUUCCGUAGGUGAACCUGCGGAAGGAUCAUUACUGAGUGAGGGCCCCUCGGGGUCCAACCUCCACCCGUGUUUAACGAACCUUGUUGCUUCGGCGGGCCCGCCUCACGGCCGCCGGGGGGCAUCUGCCCCCGGGCCCGCGCCCGCCGAAGCCACCUGUGAACGCUGUCUGAAGUAUGCAGUCUGAGACAAUUAUUAAAUUAAUUAAAACUUUCAACAACGGAUCUCUUGGUUCCG
rnacentral:misc_RNA from 1 species